UACGGAGGGUGCAAGCGUUAUCCGGAUUCACUGGGUUUAAAGGGUGCGUAGGCGGGUAAGUAAGUCAGUGGUGAAAUCUCAGAGCUUAACUCUGAAACUGCCAUUGAUACUAUUUGUCUUGAAUGUUCUGGAGGUGAGCGGAAUAUGUCAUGUAGCGGUGAAAUGCUUAGAUAUGACAUAGAACACCAAUUGCGUAGGCAGCUCACUACGGAAAUAUUGACGCUGAGGCACGAAAGCGUGAGGAUCAAACAGG
rnacentral:rRNA from 1 species